GACGAACGCUGGCGGCGUGCUUAACACAUGCAAGUCGAACGGAAAGGCCCUGCUUGCAGGGUACUCGAGUGGCGAACGGGUGAGUAACACGUGGGUGAUCUGCCCUGCACUUCGGGAUAAGCCUGGGAAACUGGGUCUAAUACCGGAUAGGAGCCAUUUUUAGUGUGAUGGUUGGAAAGUUUUUUCGGUGUAGGAUGAGCUCGCGGCCUAUCAGCUUGUUGGUGGGGUAAUGGCCUACCAAGGCGGCGACGGGUAGCCGGCCUGAGAGGGUGGACGGCCACACUGGGACUGAGAUACGGCCCAGACUCCUACGGGAGGCAGCAGUGGGGAAUAUUGCACAAUGGGCGCAAGCCUGAUGUAGCGACGCCGCGUGGGGGAUGACGGCCUUCGGGUUGUAAACUCCUUUCGCUAGGGACGAAGCUUUUUGUGACGGUACCUAGAUAAGAAGCACCGGCUAACUACGUGCCAGCCGCCGCCGUAA
rnacentral:rRNA from 1 species